rnacentral:tRNA from 2 species
GGGCUUGUAGCUCAGGUGGUUAGAGCGCACCCCUGAUAAGGGUGAGGUCGGUGGUUCAAGUCCACUCAGGCCUACCA